GGCCGGUGAUGCUAGAAGAUAUUUGCUACUCUUGAUGGGAAUUACCCAUUUGAUGAUCCUUUUCCACCAAGAUCUCUGAGGCC
rfam:Cajanus cajan Scaffold132232_1, whole genome shotgun sequence.